AAAAAAAAAAUCACCAAAAUAAUUUACCAACAAUUUUGAAAAUAAUAAUUAAAAAAAUAUACUGACAGUUUUCUUUCAGGAAAGCAUGCGUUUCAGCUGCGGGCUCUGAUUUCCUGAUUUCCUUAGAUUUGAAACAUUUCUGGUUGGAAUCCGUUUGGGUUUUGUGCUGUUUUUCGUUCUCCAAACACUAAAAGAACAAAACUAUUAAAAUGUAUCAUCAUGUUAUUCUCUCACAUUUUCAGCAUCUGUUAAAAUCUGAAAAAUAUCAGAAUGAUCGACACAGUGAACAAUCUGUCUCAGCUGUUCAAGGAUUUUCACAAAGUUUGAAAGCAUGAAACUGAAUACAGUCAAACUGAAACUUUUCGGUCUUGUUCGUGUUCUGGUUUGGGAUUUUCUGUUGAUUUGUCUCUUUCGUUCACAGCUUUGCUGCAGCUGCGUGUCGCUCUCAGACGUCUCCAUGAACUCGCCAUCAGCAGCUCGCAGCACGUCGUUAACGAAACUCCAGCGAAGAAUUUAAAGAGUGAAAACGAUGGAAAUGAAUGACCCCUGACCCCCCAGGAGGCCACGCCCCCCGCUUUGGGAACCGCUGCACUCGAGGUGAAAGAGAUGAUCUUUUUUAAUGUUUGGGGAAACUGACAUGCAGCAUCAAUAAUGUCAUAACUUCCUGAAAAUGUAAUUCCGUCUGAAAAUAUGAUCAAUUUUCCCUUAAAAUGAA